GGGAGUGUCAAGGUUUCGACAGGAAUACGGGAACUAUAAGUAGCAAGUCAGGGUGAUUCCUGUGAAAAAUCAACACAUGUUUUUACAUGGAAACGAAAAUUACGCUUUAGCUGCCUAAUUUACGCAGCUUGCUCUAUUUUCUCUAUGCCGAUACGAGAUUAUAGAGUAUCAAAUGAUUUCGGCUUACUAAAUAUAAUUCGCUUAGUUAUAUUUAGGACAAUUUUAUAAGCUCGUAUGUUAAUAUCCUUGUCUACAGGAAGUUAACAUAUUAAAUUUAAAUGUAGACUAAGCUUGUAGAAGCUUAUAGCGUCUCUAUUCUUGGACACGGGUUCGAUUCCCGUCACUUCCACCA
rnacentral:tmRNA from 1 species